rnacentral:rRNA from 1 species
AUACGGAGGGUCCAAGCGUUAUCCGGAUUCAUUGGGUUUAAAGGGUCCGUAGGCGGGAAAAUAAGUCAGUGGUGAAAGCCUACAGCUCAACUGUAGAACUGCCAUUGAAACUGUUUUCCUUGAGUAUAGAUGAAGUGGGCGGAAUAUAUCAUGUAGCGGUGAAAUGCAUAGAUAUGAUAUAGAACACCGAUUGCGAAGGCAGCUCACUAAACUAUUACUGACGCUCAGGGACGAAAGCGUGGGGAGCGAACAGGAUUAGAAACCCUAGUAGUCC